rnacentral:rRNA from 1 species
ACGGAGGAUCCAAGCGUUAUCCGGAAUCAUUGGGUUUAAAGGGUCCGUAGGCGGUCUUAUAAGUCAGUGGUGAAAUCUCCUAGCUCAACUAGGAAACUGCCAUUGAUACUGUAAGACUUGAAUUUUUGUGAAGUAACUAGAAUAUGUAGUGUAGCGGUGAAAUGCUUAGAUAUUACAUGGAAUACCAAUUGCGAAGGCAGGUUACUAACAAACGAUUGACGCUGAUGGACGAAAGCGUGGGGAGCGAACAGGAUUAGAUACCCUGGUAGUCCACGCCGUAAACGAUGGAUACUAGCUGUUCGGAGCAAUCUGAGUGGCUAAGCGAAAGUGAUAAGUAUCCCACCUGGGGAGUACGCACGCAAGUGUG